CUAGUUGGUAGGGUAAGAGCCUACCAAGCCAGAGAUCGGUAGCCGGCCUGAGAGGGCACACGGCCACACUGGCACUGAAACACGGGCCAGACUCCUACGGGAGGCAGCAGUGGGGAAUCUUGCACAAUGGGGGAAACCCUGAUGCAGCGACGCCGCGUGAGCGAUGAAGCCCUUCGGGGUGUAAAGCUCUUUCGUCAGGGAAGAUAGUGACGGUACCUGGAGAAGCAGCUGCGGCUAACUACGUGCCAGCAGCCGCGGUAAUACGUAGGCAGCAAGCGUUGUUCGGAGUUACUGGGCGUAAAGGGUGUGUAGGCGGUUCUUUAAGUUUGCUGUGAAAUCUCCCGGCUUAACCGGGAGGGUGCGGUGAAUACUGAGGGACUAGAGUACGGGAGAGGAAAGUGGAAUUCCUGGUGUAGCGGUGAAAUGCGUAGAUAUCAGGAGGAACACCGGUGGUGUAGACGGCUUUCUGGACCGUAACUGACGCUGAGACACGAAAGCGUGGGUAGCAAACAGGAUUAGAUACCCUGGUAGUCCACGCCCUAAACGAUGCAUACUUGGUGUGGGCAGUUCAUUCUGUCCGUGCCGGAGCUAACGCGUUAAAUAUGCCGCCUGGGGAGUACAGUCGCAAGGCUGAAACUCAAAGGAAUUGACG
rnacentral:rRNA from 1 species